UACGUAGGUGGCAAGCGUUGUCCGGAUUUAUUGGGUUUAAAGGGUGCGUAGGCGGCUUUAUAAGUCAGUGCUGAAAUAUCCCGGCUUAACCGGGAGGGUGGCAUCGAUACUGCAGAGCUUGAGUGAAGUCGAGGUAGGCGGAAUUGACGGUGUAGCGGUGAAAUGCUUAGAUAUCGUCAAGAACACCGAUAGUGAAGACAGCUUACUAGACUUCAACUGACGCUGAGGCACGAAAGCCAGGGGAGCAAACGGG
rnacentral:rRNA from 1 species